rnacentral:rRNA from 1 species
GACGAACGCUGGCGGCGCGCUUAACACAUGCAAGUCGAACGGAAAGGCCUGCUUUCCCUUGUGGAUUGCGGGUACUAGAGUGGCGAACGGGUGAGUAACACGUGCGUGAUCUGCCCCCAACUUGGGUAUAAGCCUGGGAAACUGGGUCUAAUUCCCGCUAGGUCUGCAGGGUGGUGCCUGAGGUGGAAAACGAUUGUGUAGUGGUUGGGGAUGAGCUCGCGGCCUAUCAGCUGGUUGGUGGGGUAAUGGCCUACCAAGGCGGCGACGGGUAGCCGGCCUGGGAGGGUGGACCGCCGCAUUGGAACGGAGAUACGGCCCAGGCGCCAACGGGAGGCAGCAUUGGGGAAUAUGGCGCGAUGGGCAGAGGCCUGAGGCAGCGACGCCGCGUGGGCGAUGCCGGCCGUCGGGUUGUAAACUCCUUGCUACCGCGAGGAAGCCACCUGGUUGGAAGGUUGGUGACGGUAGUGGUAGAAGAAGCACCGGCUAACUACGUG